ACUCCUACGGGAGGCAGCAGUAGGGAAUCUUCCACAAUGGGCGAAAGCCUGAUGGAGCAACGCCGCGUGAGUGAAGAAGGAUUUCGGUUCGUAAAACUCUGUUGUAAGGGAAGAACAAGUAGCGUAGUAACUGGCGCUACCUUGACGGUACCUUAUUAGAAAGCCACGGCUAACUACGUGCCAGCAGCCGCGGUAAU
rnacentral:rRNA from 1 species